UGGUUUUGAGCCACUGAUCUCUAUUAAUGGAUUGCACCAAUUGCACAUCCUCAUAUUCUUCUUGGCUGUCUUUCACGUAGCAUACAGUGCUAUCACAAUGCUUCUUGGGAGGCUAAAGAUUCGAGGAUGGAAGGCAUGGGAGGCUGAGACUUCAUCGCAUAGCUAUGAGUUCUCAAAUGUAAUGGAGAAAGGGUUUCAAAUACAAAUGCAGUAGAAUCUACUGGAAAAGAAAAGAAAAGGAGAGAUUUGAUCUACAAAAAGCACUUUUGGCUGCUCUUUUCAAUGCUCCUGAGAGACCCAAGGAGCCGGAGCUAGAAAGACCCGAGGAGCCGGAGCUACCAAAAAAAAGAACAGUAAGAUCAAGCAAGGGUCAUUGGGAGAUCAAGCAUGGACUACCAAGCUAUACUUUCCUUCAUCAUGCAAAACUUAGGAAACUUAAAAGCUUCUUAGUCUAUGAUAUGUAUGAAUGCUUUAACAAUGUUCCUUAAAUUCAAUAUUUGAUGAAUUGAUGUAUCACAAUGCUUUUGGUACAAAUAUUGAUCAUUUGAUGGUUUGC